rnacentral:rRNA from 1 species
UACGAAGGGGGCGAGCGUUGUUCGGAAUCACUGGGCGUAAAGGGCGCGUAGGCGGCCCUCCUUGUCGCGUGUGAAAGCCCGGGCUCAACCUGGGAACGGCGCGCGAGACGGGGGGGCUGGAGUUCGGGAGAGGAGCGUGGAAUUCCCAGUGUAGAGGUGAAAUUCGUAGAUAUUGGGAGGAACACCAGUGGCGAAGGCGGCUCACUGGACCGGAACUGACGCUGAGGCGCGAAAGCGUGGGGAGCAAACGGG